ACGAACGCUGGCGGCGUGCUUAACACAUGCAAGUCGAACGAGAAAACCCGCAAGGGUGAGUAGAGUGGCGCACGGGUGAGUAAUAGAUAGGAACGUACCGAACAGAGGGGGAUAACUGCGGGAAACUGCAGCUAAUACCGCGUAUGACGAAAGUUGAAAGAGGGCCUAUGCUUGCAUGCUCUCGCUGUUUGAUCGGCCUAUCUCCCAUUAGCUAGUUGGCGGGGUAAGAGCCCACCAAGGCUUCGAUGGGUAGCUGGUCUGAGAGGAUGAUCAGCCACACUGGAACUGAGACACGGUCCAGACUCCUACGGGAGGCAGCAGUGGGGAAUCUUGCACAAUGGGCGCAAGCCUGAUGCAGCAACGCCGCGUGAGUGAAGAAGGCCCUUGGGUUGUAAAGCUCUUUCGGCCGGGAAGAAGGGUUCGUGGGUGAAUAAUCCACGGAUUUGACGGUACCGGAGUAAGAAGCACCGGCUAAUUCCGU
rnacentral:rRNA from 1 species